rnacentral:rRNA from 1 species
AGCGAACGCUGGCGGCAGGCCUAACACAUGCAAGUCGAGCGCCGUAGCAAUACGGAGCGGCAGACGGGAGAGUAACACGUGGGAACGUACCCUUUGGUUCGGAACAACCCAGGGAAACUUGGGCUAAUACCGGAUAAGCCCUCACGGGGAAAGAUUUAUCGCCGAAGGAUCGGCCCGCGUCUGAUUAGCUAGUUGGUGGGGUAAUGGCCCACCAAGGCGACGAUCAGUAGCUGGUCUGAGAGGAUGAUCAGCCUCACUGGGACUGAGACACGGCCCAGACUCCUACGGGAGGCAGCAGUGGGGAAUAUUGGACAAUGGGCGCAAGCCUGAUCCAGCCAUGCCGCGUGGGUGAUGAAGGCCCUAGGGUUGUAAAGCCCUUUCGGCGGGGAAGAUAAUGACGGUACCCGCAGAAGUAGCCCCGGCUAACUUCGUGCCAGCAGCCGCCGUAAAAC